GGGCCGGUAGAUCAGCGGAAGAUCGUCUCCUUGGCAUGGAGGAGGCCACGAGAACUGCUGGGAUGCGCUCCCUUUAGUCGUGAAUUCAAAUCUCGUCCGGUCCACCA
rnacentral:tRNA from 1 species